rnacentral:misc_RNA from 1 species
GAUGAAGAACGCAGCGAAAUGCGAUAAGUAAUGUGAAUUGCAGAAUUCAGUGAAUCAUCGAAUCUUUGAACGCACAUUGCGCCCGCCAGUAUUCUGGCGGGCAUGCCUGUCUGAGCGUCAUUUCAACCCUCAUGCCCCUAGGGCGUGGUGUUGGGGAUCGGCCAAAGCCCGCGAGGGACGGCCGGCCCCUAAAUCUAGUGGCGGACCCGUCGUAGCCUCCUCUGCGAAGUAGUGAUAUUCCGCAUCGGAGAGCGAUGAGCCCCUGCCGUUAAACCCCCAACUUUCCAAGGUUGACCUCAGAUCAGGUAGGAAUACCCGCUGAACUUAAGCAUAUCAAUAAGCGGAGGA